CGGGCUAUAGUAUAAUGGUAGUACGCGUGCAUGGGGUGCAUGUAGCUCCGGUUCAAUUCCGGAUAGCCCGAC
rnacentral:tRNA from 1 species